GACGAACGCUGGCGGCGUGCUUAACACAUGCAAGUCGAACGGAAAGGCCCUGCUUUUGUGGGGUGCUCGAGUGGCGAACGGGUGAGUAACACGUGAGUAACCUGCCCUUGACUUUGGGAUAACUUCAGGAAACUGGGGCUAUUACCGGAUAGGAUCUCCUGCUGCAUGGUGGGGGUUGGAAAGUUUCGGCGGUUGGGGAUGGACUCGCGGCUUAUCAGCUUGUUGGUGGGGUAGUGGCUUACCAAGGCUUUGACGGGUAGCCGGCCUGAGAGGGUGACCGGCCACAUUGGGACUGAGAUACGGCCCAGACUCCUACGGGAGGCAGCAGUGGGGAAUAUUGCACAAUGGGCGGAAGCCUGAUGCAGCAACGCCGCGUGCGGGAUGACGGCCUUCGGGUUGUAAACCGCUUUCGCCUGUGACGAAGCGUGAGUGACGGUAAUGGGUAAAGAAGCACCGGCUAACUACGUG
rnacentral:rRNA from 1 species